rnacentral:rRNA from 1 species
AGUGAACGCUGGCGGUAGGCCUAACACAUGCAAGUCGAACGGCAGCACAGUAAGAUCUUGCUCUUACGGGUGGCGAGUGGCGGACGGGUGAGGAAUACAUCGGAAUCUACUUUUUCGUGGGGGAUAACGUAGGGAAACUUACGCUAAUACCGCAUACGACCUACGGGUGAAAGCAGGGGAUCUUCGGACCUUGCGCGAUUGAAUGAGCCGAUGUCGGAUUAGCUAGUUGGCGAGGUAAAGGCCCACCAAGGCGACGAUCCGUAGCUGGUCUGAGAGGAUGAUCAGCCACACUGGAACUGAGACACGGUCCAGACUCCUACGGGAGGCAGCAGUGGGGAAUAUUGGACAAUGGGCGCAAGCCUGAUCCAGCAAUACCGCGUGGGUGAAGAAGGCCUUCGGGUUGUAAAGCCCUUUUGUUGGGAAAGAAAAGCAGCAGGUUAAUACCCCGCUGUUCUGACGGUACCCAAGGAAUAAGCACCGGCUAACUUCGUG